AAUUGGUGCCAAUUUAACUGGGUCCCUGUCUUGUCACAACGCAAAAGAUAUCAAGUACCAGUUUAUGGUGAGACAACAUGGCAUCCGAUACCUUGCCUGGUCCGAAGAAGUUCCCUUGACCCUUCAAGAAAUCGCAAAACCAUACGAUUUUGAACCGAAACGAGCAACCUUCGCGGUAUGGAAACGAUGAAAAUCAAGUGGAAACAAGAGAAGACCCACAUCACCUAAUUUGUCACCCGGCCCCUACUCGACAUCUACACAAUUAGGCCUACCAGUGACAACGUGAAUCUAUCUACACCUCAUAAACAAGAGGUUCACUUUGGGGAUUUGCAGAAAUAGUUGAA